GCCUUCUUGGCUCAGUUGGCUAGAGCGCAGGUCUCAUAGUAAUAUGACAUAGUUCCAUACUAUGCAAUCCUGAGGUCGCAAGUUCGAGCCUUGCAGAGGGCA